AUGUUUUUAUGUUGCUUUAUUAACGCAAUUAUUAUUAUUUUUUAAACAUUGUAUUCAAACUGUUAUGUGACACGUAUUAAUGCCAAAAUAACAUGCUAAUCAGGCUCACCAAAAAAAACAUAUAUUUUUUUUAGCUAAACAGUUGGGGCUGAAAACACCUGAAGGACGGGUCGCCACUGCAUAACAGUCCGUUAUCUUGAUCAGUAAUGGUCUUUUAGGAAAUGGCUACUGUUGACAUGGAUACCGCAACUGUUAUGACUGUUUCUAUGGAAACGGUUACCAAGAGCAAGGUCGGCCUCCCUUGGUGUCAUGGCAACACAACGCCGGCGGAAACAUCAAAUCAACAUCCAGUUCUGGUUAGUAUUAGAUUUUAGUUGUAAACCCAACGUACUUUCAACUUGAAAUAAACCAACGAUACAGUAUAUUGCACUAAUCAAUGAUAAAAGUUGAUGAGAUGAUGGCCUGAGUGUCUGUAUGUUUGUGUUAUCAUGCGAAUUCGUCAUGCCAAACUGGUUAGCUUAAAACAUUGACAAUGACAGCAAGACAUGGAGUUGUCAAGGGCACAAUAGAUUUAGGACCAGGUUAAUAAGAACACAAUAGAUUUAGGACCAGGUUAAUAAUAACACAAUAGAUUUAGGACCAGGUUAAUACGAACACAAUAGAUUUAGGACCAGGUUAAUAAGAACACAACAGAUUUAGGACCAGGUUAAUAAGAACACAACAGAUUUAGGACCAGGUUAAUAAGAACACAAUAGAUUUAGGACCAGGUUAAUAAGAACGCAAUAGAUUUAGGACCAGGUUUAUAAGAACACAAUAGAUUUAGGACCAGGUUAAUAAGAACACAAUAGAUUUAGGACCAGGUUAAUACGAACACAAUAGAUUUAGGACCAGGUUAAUAAGAACACAACAGAUUUAGGACCAGGUUAAUAAGAACACAAUAGAUUUAGGACCAGGUUAAUAAGAACACAAUAGAUUUAGGUCCAGGUUAAUAAGAACACAACAGAUUUAGGACCAGGUUAAUAAGAACACAAUAGAUUUAGGACCAGGUUAAUAAGAACACAACAGAUUUAGGACCAGGUUAAUAAGAACACAACAGAUUUAGGACCAGGUUAAUCAGAACACAAUAGAUUUAGGACCAGGUUAAUAAGAGAGGGAGAGAGAGGCAGAGAGACAGAGAGAGAGAAGGGGAGAGAGAGAGCGAGAGAGAGAGAAGGGGAGAGAGAGAGAGAGAGAGAGAGAGAGAGAGAGAGAGAGAGAGAGAGAGAGAGAGAGAGAGAGAGAAGAGGAGAGAGAGAGAGGAGAGAGAGAGAGAGAGAGAGAGAGAGAGAGAGAGAGAGAGAGAGAGAGAGAGAGAGAGAGAGAGAGAGAGAGAGAGAGAGAGAGAGAGAGAGAGAGAGAGAGAGAGAGAGAGAGAGAGAGAGAGAGAGAGAGGGAGAAGGAGAGAGAGAGAGAGAGAGACAGGUGUGCUUUAGAAUGCUUUGUUUCUAUAUCAAAGUAAAACUUUGCACAGAUUGAUGCUAAAUACCAUUCUGUGUUAGUAACAGUUGAUCCAGGUCAUAUAAACAUGCAGUCUGAUAUGUGGAGGACCAUCACAUCUGCUUGUUUCUAGUUGGAAGGAUAAAUACUACAGUAGAUCCUAAUAACCCAGUCCUUCAGAGCAGGGUGGGAGGAGGGGUGGAAAUUAAGUUGUUCAAUUCAAGUGAAUAGAAAUUACAUGUGAAUUUCUUCAAUUCAGGAUAACUGACUUGUUCUAACAGAUGUUAACUCAACCCCUACCCCUGUCCUAACAGAUGUUAACUUGACCCCUGUCCUAACAGAUGUUAACUUGACCCCUUACCCCUGUCCUAACAGAUGUUAACUUGACCCUUACCUCUGUCCUAACAGAUGUUAACUGACCCCUACCCCUGUUCUAACAGAUUUUAACUUGACCCCUACCCCUGUUCUAACAGAUGUUACCUUGACCCCGACCCCUGUUCUAACAGAUGUUAACUUGACCCUUACCCCUGUUCUAACAGAUGUUAACUUGACCCCGACCCCUAUAAACAAACCAACAUGUGUGCCAUGUACUGUACUGGACAUAGAAUAGAAGUGACUGAAAACACGUCUGGACGGUGAUCAUAUGAAAGUGUCUGGUACCGAAUGCGAGCUGCUCUAUCCGUUCUAAUGUUUGUGUUAAGAAUUGUAAAUCUACUGUCGAAUGUCAAAUGAAUAGUGGAUUUAUUUGUUGAACUCCACGUAAAGGUCACAUAGAUUAAAAAUGUUCAAUAAGUUCAAGACCCCAGAACGCUUUACUGGUAACUCUAUCCUGUGUGUUAGAGAGAGAGGGAGAGAGAGAGAGAGAGAGAGAGAGAGAGAGAGAGAGAGAGGGAGAGAGAGAGAGAGAGAGAGAGAGAGAGAGGGAGAGAGACAUAGAGCGAGAGAGAGAGAGAGACAGAGAGCGAGAGCGAGAGAGAGAGAGACAGAGAGAGAGAGAGAGAGAGAGAGAGCCAGAGAGAGAGAGAGAGGAGAGAGAGAGAAACAGAGAGCAAGAGAGAGAUAGAGACAGAGAGAGAGAGAGAGAGAGAGAGAGAGACAGAGAGACAGAGAGCGAGAGAGAGAGAGAGAGAGAGAGAGGAGAGAGAGAGACAGAGAGAGAGAGCCAGAGAGAGAGAGAGAGAGCCAGAGAGAGAGAGAGAGCCAGAGAGAGAGAGGAGAGAGAGAGC
rnacentral:lncRNA from 1 species